GUAAGGAAUAUUGGUCAAUGGAGGCAACUCUGAACCAGCCAUGCCGCGUGCAGGAAGACGGCCCUCUGGGUUGUAAACUGCUUUUAUCUGGGAAUAAACCUGCUUACGUGUAAGUAGCUGAAUGUACCAGAAGAAUAAGGAUCGGCUAACUCCGUGCCAGCAGCCGCGGUAAUACGGAGGAUCCAAGCGUUAUCCGGAUUUAUUGGGUUUAAAGGGUGCGUAGGCGGCCUGUUAAGUCAGGGGUGAAAGACGGUGGCUCGACCAUCGCAGUGCCCUUGAUACUGAUGGGCUUGAAUGGACUAGAGGUAGGCGGAAUGAGACAAGUAGCGGUGAAAUGCAUAGAUAUGUCUCAGAACACCGAUUGCGAAGGCAGCUUACUAUGGUCUUAUUGACGCUGAGGCACGAAAGCGUGGGGAUCGAACAGGAUUAGAAACCCCGGUAGUCC
rnacentral:rRNA from 1 species